CAAGCCUAUAAUCCCAGCACUUUGGGAGGCCGAGGCAGGUGGAUCACGAGGUCAAGAGAUCGAGACCAUCCUGGUCAACAUGGUGAAACCCCGUCUCUACUAAAAAUGCAAACAAAAUUAGCUGGGCAUGGUGGCAUGUGCCUGUAAUCCCAGCUACUCAGGAGGCUGAGGCAGGAGAAUUGCCUGAAUCCAGGAGGCGGAGGUUGUGGUGAGCCGAGGUUGCACCAUUGCACUCCAGCCUGGAUAACAAGAGCGAAACUCCAUCUCAGAAAAAAAAAAAAUAGGUAAAGUGUUUAGAAUAGUGCCUAUUACUGAGUAGGUGCCAUAGAAAGAUUUACAAUCAUUAUUUUUAUUGUUAGGUAUCUAUAUAUUUAUAUGUGUAUUACAGUUUUCUAAAAGUACUUCUUUUCCUCUCCACAAUGAUUACAUCUCUUCUUUCUAACUCCAGGGUUACAAGCUGGAAAAGGGGAGAAAUGAAUCAUGCUACGAUUCCCAGAGAUGCCCUUUGUGAGGUCGGUUCAUGGCUCAACACGGAUAUGCCGUUCACCAGGUCGGUUCAUUGCUCAACACGGAUAUGUCGUUCACCAGGUCGGUUCAUGGCUCAACACGGAUAUGUCGUUCACCAGGUCGGUUCAUGGCUCAAGCAGGAUGGCUUAUGAUUUCAUUACUCUCUUGGAACAACAUGCAAUUUAAAACUUAUGAAUUGUUUAUUUCUGGAAUUUUCUAUUUACUGUUUUUGGAGGAUGGUUGAGUAGGGGUGACAAACCAUGGAAAGUGAAACUGAAUAAGGGAGAACUCCUAUCGAAUCUUCCUCAUAGGGUGAUUAAUAAACAGUAACAUAAGGUAGAGAAUGAGCCUAAA
rnacentral:lncRNA from 13 species